UUAUAAUCUAAGUUUCCUAACACAUUCAGAACUGCUGUUGACUUUGUAGCAGUGACAGGUUGCUUCCAUUUAUCCGAGUGACCAGGUUAAGGAGUAGAGUGUUUUCCUGCUGGAUGAAAUACACCAAACAGAUAAUGUGCCAUAGACUGAACCAUUACAAUGAUGCUUUUUCAUAGCAGAUAAAUGAUCCCCCCGGAUAUUGGUUCCAGAGGAUGGCACAAUGGACGCACUUGGACGCACUCAGAUUUGGUGUCAGGUGUGCUGUCAUGGAAAUAUUUUCUAUGGGACAUAGGAAAGCAUUGACCAAAUGUUCAUAUGGAUGCAGCAUUACCUCUCUUUUGGAUAAAAAUAGAAUAAGAAUUUUCCGGAGCUGGAAACGACAGCAGAUUUGUGCCGUGGGACAUUGAUAAAUGGCUGUUUAAUGUUUCCUGCUGAACUGGAUUACACACCUGGACGCCCGAGCAAUCUGGAAGGAGCCGCAGCCAAAUAAGCUUGUGCUUUUGGGUUUUGUCACUUAAGCACCAUGGGCUUUAAGCGUGUUUUUUCUUCCACUGCUGAGACAAGUCACCUAAAUGAGUCGUUAUCAGCUCAGAAACACUCCCGCAGAUAAGAGUUCAAAGAAAUAACAUUCUCAAUACACCUUUUAAAAGGCUUAAAAAUGUAGUUUCAUAAAUGUUUGU